CGUAAAUUCGAGCCCUGAACUGUCAAUGUAAUUCUAGCCGAAGUACCCGCUGAAGCCGGUACGGACGUGGAAAUGCUCGACGCCCCUGAACAGGGGCAUACCUCUGAACAAGAGGAAGACGUCAUAAUGGAAGAAGCCCCUGAACAAGAACACCCUCUUGAUGAGUUAGACCCCCGAAUAAUCGAUUAUGAACCACAUGCGACCCCAAUGGAAGAACUGGAAACUUUCCCAGUCAAUCCAGAAGACCCCAAUCAAGUCUUGCGCAUAGGGAAGUCAUUAUCGCCUGAAGCAAAAAUUGAGAUGAUACGAUUCCUGAAAGAAAACCUGGAUGUCUUCGCAUGGAAACAUGAGGAUAUGGUGGGAAUAGAUCCCAGGAUCAGUUGCCAUCACCUUAACAUCAACCCCUCCUAUGCCCCCCAUAGACAGAAGAGGCGCGCCCUAAACCCGGAACGGUACGAGGCGCUGAAAGACGAAGUAAGUAAACUUAAUCGCAGUGGUUUCAUCAGAGAGGCCAUAUAUCCGAGGUGGAUAUCCAACCCGGUUCUAGUGAAAAAGUCCAGCGGGAAAUGGAGGGUCUGUGUGGACUUCACAAACCUGAAUAAGGCAUGUCCCAAGGACAGCUUCCCACUUCCAAGAAUUGAUCAACUGGUGGACUCCACUGCUGGGCAUGAACUACUGAGUUUC
rnacentral:lncRNA from 1 species